GUGGGGAAUUUUGGACAAUGGGCGAAAGCCUGAUCCAGCCAUGCCGCGUGCAGGAUGAAGGCCUUCGGGUUGUAAACUGCUUUUGUACGGAACGAAAAGACUCCUUCUAAUAAAGGGGGUCCAUGACGGUACCGUAAGAAUAAGCACCGGCUAACUACGUGCCAGCAGCCGCGGUAAUACGUAGGGUGCAAGCGUUAAUCGGAAUUACUGGGCGUAAAGCGUGCGCAGGCGGUUAUAUAAGACAGAUGUGAAAUCCCCGGGCUCAACCUGGGAACUGCAUUUGUGACUGUAUAGCUAGAGUACGGUAGAGGGGGAUGGAAUUCCGCGUGUAGCAGUGAAAUGCGUAGAUAUGCGGAGGAACACCGAUGGCGAAGGCAAUCCCCUGGACCUGUACUGACGCUCAUGCACGAAAGCGUGGGGAGCAAACAGGAUUAGAUACCCGUGUAGUCC
rnacentral:rRNA from 1 species